ACUGGGCAGAGGGAUCCUCCUCCCAUCAUCACCGUGUGCUUUGGGCUGAUUUCCACAGGUUACUGAAGUGUGCCAAAUGAUGUGAAUGAACUCCUUGAUGCAACGCCUUGUUACCACCGUCUGCAUCUGCUGCUGCUGCUGCUGGUGAUCGCUUAGCCUCCAGGAAGCCACGUGAAGCAAAUCCCUUCUCCGGGAGCAAGACCUACCAGCAGAAGAUGCUGCACCCUUCUACUUUUGCACUGUCUUUGUUUUCCCUUCCAGGGAGAUCUAGCACCAAUUAAGCUGUUGCCUGGGUCAGGCUGCAGCAAAGUUCCUGUGCGUUCCUUACCUUCACCAAGGUGUUCAACCCUGCUGAUUUGCAAGUAAUUCUGACCUUCUCCAAUUACCCUGUCUCUAACUAGCUGAUAGUUAGGCUGCCAAUCACUCCUCUGGGCAGAACAGCAGUUGUGGUCCCAGAAAACGACCCAUUUAUGCAGGCAGGAAAAGAUAGAGACAAAAUGUAAGGGGUUCUGUUGUAUGUCAAGGAUUUCAGCUCACAUAAAACACAAGUUCUUUACCCUCCUCACGUUUACUUUCCCAUCAGCAUAGUUACAGAAGAACGGUUCUGAAACUGAACCAAUUGAUAACCACUGUUGCAAACCCACUUAAAAAGUUGGUGCUGCACUAGAGAAAUGAAGCAGAGGAUAAAGGAGUAGCAGCACUAAGCUGCAAGCACUGUGAAGAUUAUUCCCUGCAUGUGCUCAUUUAUUGAGGUAGAAUGGUGAAAGGAGUCCAAAACUAAGCAUUCACAUUCAUUAUCAAAGAAAAGGAGGGGGGGAAAGAACUUUCUCUUUACUUCUUUUGAUUUCGGGAGAGAUUAGGUUCAGGUGCAGCUCUUCAGUUGCCUGACAAGUGUUCUGCCUCUGUCAUUUUCAUAAGAUGCAUUGCAGCAUUCUCAAUUAAAGAGACUGGAACCACAAAAGACUAGAGAGAGGGAGGCAAGGUAGUGUUCUGAGGUCAUUAGGAUGUUUUCAGAGUUGUUUCCCUGUCUGUCUAAAAGCACUCCAUUACCCCUCUUCAUCCUCUGUAAACAGGAGAGCUGCCUCUCCUGCAAGACAGCAUUAGUGGUCUCUGCAGCUUUCUAUUAUCCUCUGUUAAACCACUGCACGCCGUUCACCAGGGCAGGACAUGCUCCUGUAGCUUCAGGCUGCCUGUGAACAGCAGUGCUGUGCCACAGGUGCCGGCUGCAGUUUCCACAGCACCAGCCCAAGUGCUGUGCAGAUGACAACCGCAGAAAAGUUUCCUGGAAGUGGUCAUCCCUUGGCCUUGGUAUGGCAAGAUCAGAAAUGUCAGUCUGCAGUAGCAAGUUUGACCUCACAUCUCCCUGCUUGCCCACAAAGGCAUUCCAAUUAGCUGUCACUGCCAACACUGCCGGUCAAAAGUAGCUUCCAGAGUCCAUGAGAUGGAAAGGAAACCAGAGAGGGGCCCACGUGCGCCCCAGCACUGUUGUUUAUGGAUUUCUACAACAGCAGCACUGCUCAAAGGGUGCAAUGUGUGCUGAGGGCCAACACAGAAAGUCUUUGGAACUUUUGCUCAUGUAUAUAUUUAAUUUGCCACUGCAAACGAUUUCGAUUACAUUUGACAAAUGCACAGCUGCCUCUCCCUUUGCAAUUAAAGAUUCCUAAUAACACAGCCAAACCUCCUGAAUCGUUGCUCGUUCUAGCAGAAAGCAAGCCUUGCAGUGUCUGAGCAGCCCCAGCCAUCUCACAGCAGUCAGGUUUGUUCCUCUGCCCUGCACAAGAGCAGAAUCCUUAAUCAACUUCCCUUUGGUGGCUGGGAAGGGUGAGGAAAACUUGCAUAGUGCAUCCUUUGGCUGGGCCCAGGCUCGGGUUUGUAAUUAGCUCUGCUCUGCAGAAGAACUGACAGUUCCUGGUUCUCUUUUGCCUGAGAUUCCCCUGCAGUUAGAGUGAGUUAGAGCCAGGCCCAGCAGAUGAGUACUUGCCAAAAAACAGGGAUUGGGUUUUUUUUAACUUACUGAAAACUUUCUGGUUUGGAGAUAAGGAAAUAGAAAUCCUCAGCACCUCGACAGUCAUUAUUUUAACUGCAGGUAGAAGGGUCCUGAAAUGCCCAUGAACACUCAAUUGAUCCUUGUAAAAACUCAGAACCUCCAGCAAUGGGCUGGGAUGUUUAACAUCUGGAGUUUGCAUUGCUGCCCCUGUAGAGCCCUGCUGCAGAGUGGCCUGGGGAAUGCCUGGCAA